rnacentral:rRNA from 1 species
GAUUCUGGCUCAGGACGAACGCUGGCGGCGUGCUUAACACAUGCAAGUCGAACGAGGAUUAUGUUGGAAAGGCUUCGGCCUGGAAGAUGUAAUUCGAGUGGCGGACGGGUGAGUAACGCGUGAACAAUCUGUCCCGGACAGGGGAAUAACACUUGGAAACAGGUGCUAAUACCGCAUAAGACCACGCCCUCGCAUGGGGGAGGGGUAAAAGGAGGAAUCCGGUUCGGGGUGAGUUCGCGUCCGAUUAGAUAGUUGGUGAGGUAACGGCCCACCAAGUCGACGAUCGGUAGCCGACCUGAGAGGGUGAUCGGCCACAUUGGAACUGAGAGACGGUCCAAACUCCUACGGGAGGCAGCAGUGGGGAAUAUUGGGCAAUGGGCCGAAAGCCUGACCCAGCAACGCCGCGUGAGUGAAGAAGGCUUUCGGGUUGUAAAGCUCUGUUAUAGGGGACGAAGGAAGUGACGGUACCCUAUAAGGAAGCCCCGGCUAACUACGUGCCAGCCGCCGC